rnacentral:rRNA from 1 species
UACAGAGGUCCCGAGCGUUGUUCGGAUUCACUGGGCGUAAAGCGUGCGUAGGUGGUUUGUUAAGUCUGAUGUGAAAGCCCUGGGCUCAACCUGGGAAUUGCAUUGGAUACUGGCAGGCUAGAGUGCGGUAGAGGGUAGUGGAAUUCCCGGUGUAGCAGUGAAAUGCGUAGAGAUCGGGAGGAACACCAGUGGCGAAGGCGACUACCUGGACCAGCACUGGCACUGAGGCACGAAAGCGUGGGGAGCAAACAGG